rnacentral:rRNA from 1 species
AUUGAACGCUGGCGGCAUGCCUAACACAUGCAAGUCGAACGGCAGCACGGGGCUUGGCACUGGAUUGCGAGUGGCGAACGGGUGAGUAGCACAUGAGAACGCGUCCUGGUGGGGGGGAAAGCCCGGCGAAAGCCGGUUUUAUACCACACGCGAUGUGCGGGUGAGAGGGGGGUCUUUGGACCCCUCGCUCUCUGGUGUUGGCCGAUGGCUGAUUAGCUAGUUGGUGGGGUAAAGGCCUACCAAGGCGACGAUCAGUAGCUGGUCUGAGAGGAUGAUCAGCCACACUGGAACUGAGACACGGUCCAGACUCCUACGGGAGGCAGCAGUGGGGAAUUUUGGACAAUGGGCGAAAGCCUGAUCCAGCAAUGCCGCGUGUGUGAAGAAGGCCUUCGGGUUGUAAAGCACUUUAGUCCGGGAAGAAAUGCUUGGACCUAAUACGGUGCGGGGUUGACGGUACCGGCAGAAUAAGCACCGGCUAACUACGUG